rnacentral:tRNA from 1 species
GCUCACGUAGCUUAGUGGUAGAGCACUCCCUUGGUAAGGGAGAGGUCGCGAGUCCAAUUCUCGCCGUGAGCUCCA